GUUUUAAAAAUAAAAUUUUACAUAUCUUAAUCACAAUAUUGCACAAGCUGACCCCUAGCACCAUAAUUUCAUUAUAAAUGAUAUACAUGGAAAAAAAAGAGAGAUCAACUGGCAGACUAAUUAAGAAUUCAAAACAUGGGAAAAAAACAUUGCCAUGUAUAGUAUUCAGACAUAUGUAUUCAUUUGACCCCCUACUAAACAUAAAAAAUUCUAAACAUACAUGAAAAUGUGCUACAUUGCUGCCUGCAAAAAAGGUGGAUUCCUUAUAAGUGCAAGUUUCUCUGCGUAUAGUAAAGUACAUUUUAAAAGAUUUAUCAUUUAAUUCAAUCUAAUUUUAUCUUAAUAAUUUAAGACACACAAGAAUUUAAAAAGUUAUCCGGUGAACAUUUCUUUUAUUACUAAAAACCAAUGGUCUUACUUUCUUAAUUGCACUGCAAGUGUCAAGUACAUAUCAAAUUCCAUGCAAUCUCCUCAAAAUACACAUUUCAACUUCAAAAAUUAAAUGAACGAUAAAAUAUUACUAAAGAACCUUAGAGGACCAUAUAAUUUUACGAUUAAAACACAAAUAAAGCUUACAUAAAGUCAAUACAAAUGAUGCAUAUCAAAUUCCAAGCAUGUCCUCAAAGUUCACUUUUCAAAUUAAAAAAUAAAUAGACGAUUAAAUAUUACUAGAGAACCUUGGAUGAACAAAUAAUUUUACGAGUAAAAUACACAUAAAUCUUACAUAAAUCAGUGCAAACAUCUGUGAAUAAACUAUUGUUUAAAUUAGAUUAAUGCAAACAUUGAACACAGAUUUCCGUUAUAUAUGCCAAUGCGACAUUCACAAUUCACAAUUCAGGACAUGAAAGAACGCAAUACUGAAUGACCUUGUCAGUUUUGUCAAAGACGUUACAAACUUCCUAAUAGCAACGUUUUCAUCUUCUGGACCCUUCAGCUACUUGUAAGUAAGACAUAUAUGUGUUGAAUUUAGUUUUACUUAAAAAUUUUUACGUACAUUGGAAUGUUCUGCGUGUAAGAGUUAUCGUGCUUGCUAUAUCGUUAGAAAGUUUUUGCCGUGUCCAAAUAAGGAGAGGCAGAUGCAAGCGAUUCUUGGAAAUGAAAACAUUUAGUAAACGCCCAAUGAAAAUUGUGCGCGGUAAAAAUCAGGACCCGGUUGUCCAGAUAGCGUCACUUUUCAUUUUCUUUUAGGACGCCGUGAAAAGUACAUGUGUGUUGGAUAGCAUCAAAUUAUUUUAAGCCGCCUCCACCCCUCCACCUUUUCCUGUUUUUUAAGGUAAUAAUGGCAGAAGCCACAGGAAUUAAACAUUCAGAGAUGGUAGAGCUGAACGAAUUUUUCAACAAAGUUAGCUCAAAAUAUUCGCACUGUAUCUGCAUCUUGCUGAAAAAUGACCUUAAAACUCCAUUAACAAAUCCAAGAAUUUACCAAGAAGAUGGGAAAAUGUAAAGUGGCCCUCAAAAUGUAAUUCAGCCAGGUGAAUUUGUAUGCCUUGGAUUUUACAAAAAUUAUCUUCCAUUUGGGCCUAAAGGUAUUGUUGCCUAUGACCUGAAAGAAUUAGGAAUAACAUUUUGCCUAUAUUUUAACAAUCCAUAUUUUGGUCAUAACAAAUUUACAAUGUAUUGGAUGAACGAGGGAAGGAAUGUAGAUCAAGAUCUCUUUCGAGCUCUUGCGAUGGAUAAUAAUAUUUGGUAUGCGCAUGGCAACAUGACCUGGCAUCAUAUGAAAUCCGACACGCACAAUGUUAAGGCUUCUGGUUUUAUAGGAGAAGGAUACACUGCCACAUUGCCAGUGGAAAUAAAAAAUACAUGAAUGCUGACUACAAUAAAA